CCCUGACCGGAUUGGUUAUAAAAUUUGAAAAUUUAUUACUGAAAAACUACUUAUUGUAAGAACACAAUUUUUCACAGAGUUUAGUUUGAUUAUGCUAUUUUUUAAAUUCAUUAAUAUUUUCCACUUGUAUCACAUGUUUCGGAAAUAAUUCCCGGACGAUAUUUCAAUGAAACUGAAACAUCAAAAGAAUACAUCCUUAACGUGCUGAUCUGUAUUUAUCCUUAACUUUCAAUGGUAUAUACAAACACGUUGUAAAUGUGCAUCAAAUGUAUUCGCAUUGUAAAUUGAUACUACGAAAACAAGUGUACAAGUUCAAUAACAAUGCAACUUUCCCUCUUGUUUUUGUCGUCAAGUUGUGUUGAGAACUGAUCAACUGGUGACUAAUAUACGUUUCCAUAAAAACAAAAAAGUACAUCUGUUGUAACGUUGUCAUCAAAUGAAAUUUGAGUUAGACUUUAAGUUUAUGUCACGAUUCUUUAUUUUGUAUUCUUCAUUCGUCAUUCCUCUAAACAUGCUGAAUAGGUUUGCUCUUGCGAUUUGUGUAUUUGUCCUGUCUGGUGGCUUCAUGAUUGAGGGAACCCAUGCUGAAAAAUGCAGGUACCCAUUUCGGAAGAUAGGGGAUGGUUGUUACUUCAUAACCAGGUAGAAAACGACUGCAGAUAGAGCAUUUGCGUUGUGUUUACGGCGUGGUGCAUACCUUGCCACUUUUGAGACUCUGGAAGAGGCCAUGUUGAUGAAAUAUGAACUUCAACAGAUGCAUACAGGGAUAAGUUUCUAUAUCGGAGGACGGAAUAUUAAUAGAUACGUCCC